rnacentral:rRNA from 1 species
AUUGAACGCUGGCGGCAGGCCUAACACAUGCAAGUCGAACGGUAACAGAAAGCAGCUUGCUGCUUUGCUGACGAGUGGCGGACGGGUGAGUAAUGUCUGGGAAACUGCCUGAUGGAGGGGGAUAACUACUGGAAACGGUAGCUAAUACCGCAUAACGUCGCAAGACCAAAGAGGGGGACCUUCGGGCCUCUUGCCAUCGGAUGUGCCCAGAUGGGAUUCGCUAGUAGGUGGGGUAACGGCUCACCUAGGCGACGAUCCCUAGCUGGUCUGAGAGGAUGACCAGCCACACUGGAACUGAGACACGGUCCAGACUCAUACGGGAGGCAGCAGUGGGGAAUAUUGCACAAUGGGCGCAAGCCUGAUGCAGCCAUGCCGCGUGUAUGAAGAAGGCCUUCGGGUUGUAAAGUACUUUCAGCGGGGAGGAAGGGAGUAAAGUUAAUACCUUUGCUCAUUGACGUUACCCGCAGAAGAAGCACCGGCUAACUCCGUG